GCCAGCGUGGCCUAGUGGUUUCAGCAUUGGACUACGACUCUGGAGACCAGGGUUCGAAUCUCGGCUGGGCC